rnacentral:rRNA from 2 species
CGUCCAUAAAAAAUAAGAGGUCCCGCCUGCCCUGUGACGAAAGUUUAACGGCCGCGGUAUUUUGACCGUGCGAAGGUAGCGUAAUCACUUGGUCUUUUAAAUAGGAGACCUGUAUGAAUGGCACAACGAGGGCUAAGCUGUCUCCUUUUUCCAGUCAAUGAAAUUGAUCUCCUCGUGCAGAAGCGGGGGUGUUUACAUAAGACGAGAAGACCCUAUGGAGCUUAAGACACCAGAAUAGACUAAGUUACUAACCCCCCAAUAAAGGAAUAAACUAAGAAGUAUCUAUUCACCUGUCUUCGGUUGGGGCGACCGCGGGGAAAAAACAAACCCCCACGUGGAACGGGCCAACACCCCCUAAAACUAGAGCCACAACUCUAACAAACAGAACAUCUGACCAAAAAUGAUCCGGCAUAGCCGAUCAACGGAUCAGUUACCCUAGGGAUAACAGCGCAAUCCUCUUCUAGAGCCCAUAUCGACAAGAGGGUUUACGACCUCGAUGUUGGAUCAGGACUUCCUAAUGGUGCAGCCGCUAUUAAGGGUUCGUUUGUUCAACGAUUAAAGUCCGACAGUGGAGCUGAGUGGCGAGACCAGGAGGAG